GGAUGUCCCAAGUUCAACUCCCAGCACCAGCCUGAAUCUGUGUUCUUGUACAUUGUAACAUGCACUCAACCAGGUGUGCCACCACCUGGCCAUUAUUUUUAUUUUGGUUAUCUGUCCAGAUGCCCUUAAUAUCUUUGAUGAUGUCUUUGAGUACAGAGACUUUUUUUUUUGCCUCCAGGGUUAUCACUGGUUGUCGUACCUGCACUACAAAUCCCACUGCUCCUGUAGGCUAUUUUUUCCCUUUUGUUGCCCUUCUUCUAUAUUGUUGUUGUUAUUAUUGUUGUCAUUGCUGUCACUGUUGUUGGAUAGGACAGAGAGAAAUCAAGUAGGUAGAGGAAGACGGGGAGAGAAAAAUAGACACCUGCAGACCUGCUUCAUCUCCUGUGAAGCCACCCCCACAUAGGUGGGGAGCCGGGGGCUGGAACCAGGAUCCUUACACCAGUGCUUGUGUUUUGUGGCAUGUGCGCUUAACCUGCUGCCUCCUGCCCAGCCCCCGAGACCUCAUCUUUAUCAGAAAUCCAGGAUGGUCCCAGACUUAGGGAUAGUCUUGGUGAGGAAUAGACUUAGGAAAGCUUUGUUUUCUUGUUGUUGUUUUGCUUUUUCACCAGUCUCAGAGAUACUUUCAUUCUGAUCACUUAGAUCUGACCCUAGCUGUGCCUAUCAGUAACUCCUUGGCCAUCGUCUUCACACUGAUUGUUGGGAAGGCCCUUGGAGAAGAUAUUGGUGGAAAGUAAGCAUUUGUAGGCAUGGUGCUCACCGUGACAGGAAUUGCACUCUGCAUCACAAGCUCAGUGAGCAAGACACAGGAGCACCCAUCAACUCUUUGAAUGGACCAAAGCCACUCUCCAGCUCUGCUGUCUCCAGGAGCCCUGCUGGCCAUAAGGUGCAGACAAUGAGCCUAACACUCCCCACCACAGAGCCUCAGUUUCCUCAUCCCUCAUGAAGAUAAUAGCUACCUCAUGGAUCAAAAUGACAAGUGAAAGGGUUUUAUAAUUUCCAAAAGCUGUUCAACCCUCAGCAACAUUCCUGCUUCAGCAGCUGUCUCCCUGCUGUCUUGUCUGGUCCACAGCCCAGGCACCAUGACUGAGGCCUGGCUGAGGCAUUACUGGACUAUCACAGUGGCAGGGUGGAUGGACAGCAGAAGCCUCGUUGCACAGAGAGGUGAGCUAUAGCCUCUGAAUCAGGACUGUAAACUAGAGGCCUCCAAGCUUCAGUCAGAGAGCUGUGGCUGACCGGGCAUGUGGCAGGGUAUGGACAGACUAGGGGAGAAGAUGCAGCAGAAUCACAGAUGUAAAAGAGAUGCCCUGGGAGUCGGGCAGUAGCGCAGCAGGUUAAGCGCAUGUGGCGCAAAGUGCAAGGACCGGCGUGAGGAUCCUGGUUCAAGCCACCGGCUCCCCACCUGCAGGGGAGUCGCUUCACAGGCAGUGAAGCAGGUCUGCAGGUGUCUUUUCUUUAUCUCCCCUUCUUGGUCUUCCCUUCCUCUCUCCAUUUCUCUCUGUCCUAUCCAAAAACGAUGACAUCAAUAUCAACAAUAAUAAAACGAGGGCAACAAAAAGGAAAUAAUAAAUAUUUUAAUUUUUUUAAAAAAUAAAAUAAAGGAAGCAGGUGGUAGUGCAGCAGGUUAAGCACAGGUGGUGCAAAGCUCAAGGACCGGUGUAAGGAUCCUGGUUCGAGCCCCCGGCUCCCCACCUGCAGGGGAGUCGCUUAACAGGCUGUGAAGCAGGUCUGCAGGUGUCUAUCUUUCUCUCCCUUGUCUGUCUUCCCCUCCUCUCUCAAUUUCUCUUGUUCUAUCUGACAACGGUGACAGCAAUAACAACAAUAAUAACUACAACAAUAAAACAAGAACAAGGGCAACAAAAGGAAAUAAAUAUUUAAAAAUAAAUAAAUAAAAUAAAAUAAAAGAGAUGCUCUGAUAGCUUUUCCUGUCUUACCAGGUGACAGGUGGAAACCCUCAACAACCCACCCCUCACACAGAUGGCAGCCCCAGUACUGCCUGACUACAGCGUAUAGCACAACUCCUGGCACGUAGUAGCCUGUAAUAAACUGCAAUAAAUAGACAGAGGUUGUUCCACUCCAGGCUUGUGUGCCCCUGGUGCCUGUGGGAACUUGAGAGAAGAAAUUUCAUCCAUCUUGAUAGCCUGCAUCCACCCUCCCAACUCCCUCUCCCCAUAAAGUUGCCCUGUUCACACUGAUAACCAGGCUAAGGUACCCUCCUUUCCAGCUCCUGGGGGUGUUUGUUUGUUAGUUUGAUAGAUGCAAAGAAUGAAAGAGACUACAGCACCAAAACUUCAUUCAGUGUGGUAGGGCUAGGCUCGAACCUGGGUCAUAUGCAUGGCAGAAUAGCAACUAUCCAAGUGAAUAGCUAGUACCUGCCACUCAAGAUGCCCAAUAAAACCAGGUUCUAUCCCUGUAGCUUCCCCCACCCAGAGUUCACCAAAUGCUUUGGAGGGUACAGGCCUGCAGUAAGAUAGGUGGCAGAUAAGCUCACAUGCUGCCAGACAUGCCAGUUCUUUCUCCCACUAGCUGACCUGGCAAAAAGGCAUUAGGUCUAGCAACUCCAGAGUCCUGAAGAUCUUCACAGAUGAAACCGGCCAGGCUGGCUUCCCACCCCACCCCCCCAAACUCUGAGUUGGGCUCUGGCAUUCAACAGCUGUCACCCUGAACAACUGUCUUCAGUCCUGUGAACCUCGGUCUCUGUUCUGGAAAA